AAAAGAAUCUGGUUGAAACCUCAGUAACAGUUGGCCUGUCUACUGCCUCACACUAACAAGGGGGAGCUAAUAAAACCGAGGUUAGAACACACAAUGUGGAAAUGAAAACCUUAUUCUUGUCAAUGGAUGGAGGGUGGGAAGAAGACCCUCACCAGAUUCCAGCCCCUCGAUCUUUGAUUUUCCAUUUGGCUUAUGCUUCCACAGCCUGUACAAGAAACAUGGUGCCAGCAUCUGCUUCUGGUGAGGACUGCAGGAAGCUUCCAAUCAUGGUCCAAAAAAUGCGGAGCCUGCGUGUCACGUGAUAAGAGAUGGAGCGUGAGAAAGAGGCAGGAGGAGAAAGGGAGAAUAUUUCUGGGAAUAUUAAGAAGGGGUCACAAGGCAGACUCAGGGGUUGGGUUUUGUGUGUAACCAUGGGACCCCCACCUUUACAAGUGUCUGUAAUUCUCACUAGCAGUAUAUUAGAGGGCAAAAGAUUUGAACAGACACAUCAGAAAAGAAGACAUACAAAUGGCCGCUAAGCACUUGAAAGGAUUCUGAACACCAUUAGUCAUCAGUGAAAUGCAAAUUAAAGCCAUAAUGAAUGGCGCUAUACAUUUUCAGAAUGGCAAGGAUUGAAGACCGAAAAAAAUCAAGCGUUGGGGAGAGUGACAAAUGGGGAGACAGCCGUGGUGCAUGAUCGCCGAAUAAAUACCAUGUGAGGAUACAGCAAGAAGGUGGCCAUCUACAAGCCAAGGAGACAGGCCUCAGAAGAAACCAACCCUUCUUACACCCUGGACUCAGACUUCUAAUCUCCAGAACUGUAAGAAAAUAAAUUUCUGUUGCUUAUGCUGCCCAGGUUAAUGCACAAGGUCUUGUGUUGAAAAUGUAGAGCCACGAGAUAAAAGCAGCUUGGAUGGCUGACUCAUAUACAAGGACAACUGCCUGAGAGUCACCAGGGCUAUCAAGAAGUUUGCAGAAACAAGAAAUAAACUUUUACUGUUUUAAACUUUUGUGAAUUUUGGGUUUUGUUUAUCACCAAAUAAACCUAGUCUAUUCUGAUUGUUAUAAGUGGUUAAUUUGGGAAGUCAGAUAUAUUUAAAAUUGGCUUACUGCUGUAACAUAUACAGUCCAAAUUACAUAAUGGCUCAAAUGCAAUAGAAGUCUUUUUUUUUUUUGCUCACAUAUCACUUCACUGAGAUUCUGCAUUAAUUGUAAUGAUGAGGGUGAGGGUGUCUUAUAUCAUACAGUUGUUCAGCAACCCAGGAUGACCAACUUUGUAAUAUUUUUUCCCACUGGCUUCUAAAGUUCUC
rnacentral:lncRNA from 1 species